AACGAACGCUGGCGGCAGGCCUAACACAUGCAAGUCGAGCGAGGACUUCGGUUCUAGCGGCGGACGGGUGAGUAACGCGUGGGAAUGUGCCCUUCUCUACGGAAUAGCCCUGGGAAACUGGGAGUAAUACCGUAUACGCCCUAUUGGGGAAAGAUUUAUCGGGGAAGGAUCAGCCCGCGUUGGAUUAGGUAGUUGGUGGGGUAAUGGCCUACCAAGCCGACGUUCCAUAGCUGGUUUGAGAGGAUGAUCAGCCACGCUGGGACUGAGACACGGCCCAGACUCCUACGGGAGGCAGCAGUGGGGAAUCUUAGACAAUGGGGGCAACCCUGAUCUAGCCAUGCCGCGUGAGUGAUGAAGGCCUUAGGGUUGUAAAGCUCUUUCAGCUGGGAAGAUAAUGACGGUACCAGCAGAAGAAGCCCCGGCUAACUCCGUG
rnacentral:rRNA from 1 species